UUCUUUUCCGCGCUGAACUCAGCAGUUGAAAUGUUGAGGUCCUAUUGUGUGCCUCAAAAAGGAUUAUGAAGUACAACACGUGUGAUCCUGGAUGACUAAUGUAUCUGCAUAAUGGUUUACAAUCAGCGUAACUUCUUGCUGACCCUGAGAAACCAGGGGAUUGCUCAAUCGUGGUUUGCCUCCAGUGGGAAUGCUAUGGUCUGAACUUCCAGCCAUAAUGAUCAAGGAACCAUUGAUGGUGGUAUGCCUGAAGUUGGGGUCACAUGGGUGGAACCUUUAGUGACUCUUAACAGUUGCUGGCAUGGGGAGAUGGGAAUGUGACUGAUCCUGGUUCUCGAUGUAAAAAUCGUGACGAGAUGAACUAAAAGUUCUAAGGGGGUGUUGGAAGACUAGGUGAAUAUGCAGUAAAUUCCCUCUCCAUUGUUUGGUCAGGGGGGUGUGCAGGAACUGUCAUUUACCACUGACCUACAGUUGUCCUGAAGAAAGUGCAUCACCGGCUUGAAUUUAUAAUUUAGCCAUUUUGUUUGUGGAGAUGUGUUUUAAUUUUUUUUAUAAGCUUCAUUAAACUACAUGUGUUCUAAUUUUAGCUUGGUAAAUAAAACCAGUAAGUGUAACUUCAUUGUCCUGAACCAAUAAAGGGAUUUGUACAUAA